GACGAACGCUGGCGGCGUGCUUAACACAUGCAAGUCGAACGGAAAGGCCCUGCUUUUGUGGGGUGCUCGAGUGGCGAACGGGUGAGUAACACGUGAGUAACCUGCCCUUGACUUUGGGAUAACUUCAGGAAACUGGGGCUAAUACCGGAUAGGAGCUCCUGCUGCAUGGUGGGCGUUGGAAAGUUUCGGCGGUUGGGGAUGGACUCGCGGCUUAUCAGCUUGUUGGUGGGGUAGUGGCUUACCAAGGCUUUGACGGGUAGCCGGCCUGAGAGGGUGACCGGCCACAUUGGGACUGAGAUACGACCCAGACUCCUACAGGAGGCAGCAGUGCAGAAUAUUCCACAAUGGGCGGAAGCCUGAUGCAGCAACGCCGCGUGCGGGAUGACGGCCUUCGGGUUGUAAACCGCUUUCGCCUGUGACGAAGCGUGAGUGACGGUAAUGGGUAAAGAAGCACCGGCUAACUACGUG
rnacentral:rRNA from 1 species